rnacentral:piRNA from 1 species
UGUUUGUGUCGGAUUUUUUAC